CGUAAAAACUGAAUAAAUAAAUAAAUUAGAAAUUAAAAAAAAAUCCGAGUUAGUGAUGUCUGACUUCCUCUAUUCAUGCUAUUGCUACUCUUGUUGCUUUUUGGUUUUUGUUUUGCUUCUUGACUGUUGUUGUUUUCCAGGAAAGCUGUCAUUUAUCGUGAGAACAAGAGCAGCCAUGUGUUGAUUUUUCUGGAUUCUUUUUGGAUACUCUCCCAGUGCUAAUGAAGGCCCUUCCAAAGUGCUAACAAGCUGGUGCCAGAAUCAGUGUUGCUGAAAACAAUAGAAGAGAGUGGUAUGCAGACAUCAUGUCUUGUAGAUGCAGACCGGGUCCUCUGGCGACAAUGCCACUGACUACAGUCACUCUGCUAUUAGAAGCUCCUACACCUAAAUGCCGGGCCAUGCAUCAUUAAGUAGCACAGUUAUUCAAAUUUAGUAAAUUAAAUUAAAUAAACUCAAAUGACUUGGUUUCAGGGAUUAAAAAUUUCA